rnacentral:rRNA from 1 species
CCUACGGGAGGCAGCAGUGGGGAAUAUUGGGCAAUGGGCGAAAGCCUGACCCAGCAACGCCGCGUGAAGGAAGAAGGCUUUCGGGUUGUAAACUUCUUUUGACAGGGACGAGGCGAAGAAGGUUCCUGUCGAAUAAGCCACGGCGAACCACGUGCCAGCCGCCGGGGUAAUACGUAGGUGGCAAGCGUUGUCCGGAGUUACUGGGUGUAAAGGGCGUGUAGCCGGGCUGACAAGUCAGAUGUGAAAUCCGGGGGCUCAACCCCCAAACUGCAUUUGAAACUGUUGGUCUUGAGUGUCGGAGAGGCAGUCGGAAUUCCGAGUGUAGCGGUGAAAUGCGUAGAUAUAAGGAGGAACACCAGUGGCGAAGGCGGACUGCUGGACGGCAACUGACGGUGAGGCGCGAAAGCGUGGGGAGCAAACAGGAUUAGAUACCCGGGUAGUC